GGCCUACAUAUCCAGGAAUUUUCCACCUCAGAGUUUGCAACCCUCAUUCGCACAGAUUCAUUCUGCUGAAAUCUGUACAGUGGUGAAGAACAUCAAACAGUAAUCUGGAGAACUGGGCUUGAUUCCUCCUCCCUCUGAGCAACAGACUCUUUCCUGGUGGGCUGAGUUUCUUUCCACGUUUUUACUGGGUGAGCCUGGGCCAGUCACAGAAGGCGGGGUGUAAAUACUUUUAAUAAAGAAAUAAUAACGGAUUAAAAA